rnacentral:tRNA from 1 species
CGCGGGGUGGAGCAGCUUGGUAGCUCGUCGGGCUCAUAACCCGAAGGUCGUUGGUUCAAAUCAAGCCCCCGCAACCA